UGGGGAAUAUUGCACAAUGGGCGCAAGCCUGAUGCAGCCAUGCCGCGUGUGUGAAGAAGGCCUUCGGGUUGUAAAGCACUUUCAGCGAGGAGGAAGGUGGUGAACUUAAUACGUUCAUCAAUUGACGUUACUCGCAGAAGAAGCACCGGCUAACUCCGUGCCAGCAGCCGCGGUAAUACGGAGGGUGCAAGCGUUAAUCGGAAUUACUGGGCGUAAAGCGCACGCAGGCGGUUUGUUAAGUCAGAUGUGAAAUCCCCGGGCUCACCUGGGAACUGCAUUUGAACUGGCAGCUAGAGUCUCGUAGAGGGGGUAGAAUUCCAGGUGGUAGCGGUGCAAAUGCGUAGAGAUCUGGAGGAAUACCGGUGGCGAAGGCGG
rnacentral:rRNA from 1 species